rnacentral:rRNA from 1 species
CUAAUACAUGCAAGUCGAGCGGACCGACGGGAGCUUGCUCCCUUAGGUCAGCGGCGGACGGGUGAGUAACACGUGGGUAACCUGCCUGUAAGACUGGGAUAACUCCGGGAAACCGGGGCUAAUACCGGAUGCUUGAUUGAGCCGCAUGGUUCAAUUAUAAAAGGUGGCUUUCAGCUACCACUUACAGAUGGACCCGCGGCGCAUUAGCUAGUUGGUGAGGUAACGGCUCACCAAGGCGACGAUGCGUAGCCGACCUGAGAGGGUGAUCGGCCACACUGGGACUGAGACACGGCCCAGACUCCUACGGGAGGCAGCAGUAGGGAAUCUUCCGCAAUGGACGAAAGUCUGACGGAGCAACGCCGCGUGAGUGAUGAAGGUUUUCGGAUCGUAAAACUCUGUUGUUAGGGAAGAACAAGUACCGUUCGAAUAGGGCGGCACCUUGACGGUACCUAACCAGAAAGCCACGGCUAACUACGUGCCAGCAGCCGCGGUAAUACGUAGGUGGCAAGCGUUGUCCGGAAUUAUUGGGCGUAAAGCGCGCGCAGGCGGUUUCUUAAGUCUGAUGUGAAAGCCCCCGGCUCAACCGGGGAGGGUCAUUGGAAACUGGGGAACUUGAGUGCAGAAGAGGAGAGUGGAAUUCCACGUGUAGCGGUGAAAUGCGUAGAGAUGUGGAGGAACACCAGUGGCGAAGGCGACUCUCUGGUCUGUAACUGACGCUGAGGCGC